rnacentral:rRNA from 1 species
AUUGAACGCUGGCGGCAUGCCUUACACAUGCAAGUCGAACGGUAACAGGUCUUCGGAUGCUGACGAGUGGCGAACGGGUGAGUAAUACAUCGGAACGUGCCUAGUAGUGGGGGAUAACUACUCGAAAGAGUGGCUAAUACCGCAUGAGAUCUACGGAUGAAAGCAGGGGAUCGCAAGACCUUGUGCUACUAGAGCGGCCGAUGGCAGAUUAGGUAGUUGGUGGGAUAAAAGCUUACCAAGCCGACGAUCUGUAGCUGGUCUGAGAGGACGAUCAGCCACACUGGGGCUGAGACACGGCCCAGACUCCUACGGGAGGCAGCAGUGGGGAAUUUUGGACAAUGGGCGCAAGCCUGAUCCAGCAAUGCCGCGUGCAGGAUGAAGGCCUUCGGGUUGUAAACUGCUUUUGUACGGAACGAAAAGCCCUGGGUUAGUACCCUGGGGUCAUGACGGUACCGUAAGAAUAAGCACCGGCUAACUACGUGCCAGCCGCCGCGGUAAAAC